rnacentral:rRNA from 1 species
AUUGAACGCUGGCGGCAUGCCUUACACAUGCAAGUCGAACGGCAGCACGGGAGCUUGCUCCUGGUGGCGAGUGGCGAACGGGUGAGUAAUACAUCGGAACGUACCCAGGAGUGGGGGAUAACGUAGCGAAAGUUACGCUAAUACCGCAUAUUCUGUGAGCAGGAAAGCGGGGGAUCGCAAGACCUCGCGCUCUUGGAGCGGCCGAUGUCGGAUUAGCUAGUUGGUGAGGUAAAAGCUCACCAAGGCGACGAUCCGUAGCAGGUCUGAGAGGAUGAUCUGCCACACUGGGACUGAGACACGGCCCAGACUCCUACGGGAGGCAGCAGUGGGGAAUUUUGGACAAUGGGGGCAACCCUGAUCCAGCCAUGCCGCGUGAGUGAAGAAGGCCUUCGGGUUGUAAAGCUCUUUCGGCGGGGAAGAAAUGGCAACGGCUAAUAUCCGUUGUUGAUGACGGUACCCGCAUAAGAAGCACCGGCUAACUACGUGCCAGCCGCCGCCGUAAGAC